AUGUAUGGGAAAUACCACAAGGUUGAAUCACGCAAUGCCAAAAUUGGGAAGCUUCACAAACCUAGGACAGAGUGGAGUGGACGAUUCAUCACUCCACAACUGUCUCUUCCCGUGCCCAUUCCUUCACUCUACCUACCACCAACUCCUCUUUCCCUUUUCAUCAUCACUCUUAAUUCUAUAUCUAUCUAUAUAUCUAUCUAUUCAACUUUCCACACUCUCAAAAUUCAACUUUCCCUUCCAUUUCUAGGGAGAUGA